CCGGGGUAACCGCAGGGUCGGAGGAGGGGUGGCCGAUGCCGCGCCGCGCAGGCGUGGAAGCGAGGGCUCCCGAACGCGGAAGUAAGGCCGGGAUGGAAGCGGCGGGAGUGAUGACGUCAGCAGCAGGCGCCGCCGUUCAAACGCGGAAGCGGCCGCGAAUCCGGGCCGCAUGGGGAUAGCGGGAGGGCCAGAUGGAAGCUCCGGGACCGCCCCUGGCCGCGCGCAUGGCUCAUCUGAUGGGAGGACCCCAGGCUCGGGAGGUGGUCCACUUGCAGGAUGUCCUGGCCCUGGAUGCUGGAGGGUGCAAGCCUAAGGUGCUGCUGCCGCCCUGGGCGUGCCAAGGGACA